GAAUAUACAUUUGAAGCGUAUAGCUGCGCGGCUGUACUGUUUAAAUAUUAAAAUAAAUUUAAAGCGUAUAGCCGGGCGGCUAUACUUUUAAAAUAUUAAAAU
rnacentral:miRNA from 1 species